rnacentral:rRNA from 1 species
CAAUAGCGUAUAUUAAAGUUGUUGCAGUUAAAAAGCUCGUAGUUGGAUUUCUGGUCGGAAGCUCCUGUCCUCUGAUGAGCGUACAAGUGCGUCCUACCAUCCUUCUGUUAACCUUUAAGGCUUUCGCGGCUUUCUAGGGGCUCAGAUAUUUUACCUUGAGAAAAUUAGAGUGUUUCAGGCAGGCUAGCGCCGGAAUACAUUAGCAUGGAAUAAUGGAAUAGGACUUUUGCCUCUUCUGUUGGUCAUGAGGCUCGAGUAGUGAUUAAUAGGGAUAGUUGGGGGCAUUAGUACUUAACUGUCAGAGGUGAAAUUCUCGGAUUUGUUAAAGACUAACUUAUGCGAAAGCAUUUGCCAAGGAUGUUUUCAUUAA